CGAGAGUCUUAGGGACUCGGCGUACCGCUCAGUAACACGUGGGUAACCUACCCUAUGCUGGGGAAUAACCUCGGGAAACUGAGAAUAAUGCCCCAUAGUCCACAAUGCCUGGAACGGUUUGUGGAUCAAAGCUCCGGCGGCAUAGGAUGGGCCUGCGGCGUAUCAGGUUGUAGGGGGUGUAACGUACCCUCUAGCCAUCAACGCGUACGGGUGUUGGGAGACAUAGCCCGGAGAUGGAUUCUGAGACACGAAUCCAGACCCUACGGGGUGCAGCAGGCGCGAAAACUUGGCAAUGCGAGAAAUCGUGACCAGGGAACUCCAAGUGGCUGGGGUAAGACCCAGUCUUUUCUUGACUCUUCAACGGUCUUGGAAUAAGGGGUGGGUAAGGACGGUGCCAGCCGCCGCGGUAAUACCGGCGCCUCAAGUGGUAGUCGAUUUUAUUGGGCCUAAAACGUCCGUAGCCUGUUUGGUACAUUCGUGGGUAAAUCAACCAGCUCAACUGGUUGAAUUCUGCGAGCACGGCCAGACUUGGGACCGGGAGAGGUGUGGGGUACGCUCAGGGUAGGGGUAAAAUCCUGUCAUCCUGAGCGGACCACCUGUUGCGAAGGCGCCACACUAGAACGGAUCCGACGGUCAGGGACGAAGCCUAGGGGCACGAACCGGAUUAGAUACCCGGGUAGUCCUAGGUGU
rnacentral:rRNA from 1 species